UCAAAAACAUAACCUUUAGCCAAACAAAUAUUAAAGGCAACGCCUGCCCGGUGAAUAAUUAAACGGCCGCGGUAUCCUAACCGUGCAAAGGUAGCGUAAUCAUUUGUCUAUUAAUUGUAGACCCGUAUGAAAGGCAAAAUGAGGGCCUAACUGUCUCUUAUAAUAAAUCAAUUAAACUGAUCUCCCAGUCCAAAAGCUGGGAUACUAACAUAAGACCAGAAGACCCUGUGAAGCUUAAACUAAACUAUUAAAUCAAAUAAUAGCUCCUUUCGGUUGGGGCGACCUUGGAAAAAAAAACAACUUCCAAAUAUUAUGACUUCCAUCAUACAUUACAGGCUGACAAGCCAAAACUAGAUCCAGUACAGCUGAUUAUUGAACCAAGUUACUCCAGGGAUAACAGCGCUAUCCUCUUCAAGAGCCCAUAUCAAAAAGAGGGUUUACGACCUCGAUGUUGGAUCAGGACAUCCUAAUGGUGCAGCCGCUA
rnacentral:rRNA from 1 species